GAUGAACGCUAGCUACAGGCUUAACACAUGCAAGUCGAGGGGAAACGACAUCGAAAGCUUGCUUUUGAUGGGCGUCGACCGGCGCACGGGUGAGUAACGCGUAUCCAACCUGCCCAUCACUUGGGAAUAACCUUGCGAAAGUAAGACUAAUACCCAAUGACAUCCCACGAAGACAUCUGAAUGGGAUUAAAGAUUUAUCGGUGAUGGAUGGGGAUGCGUCUGAUUAGCUUGUUGGCGGGGUAACGGCCCACCAAGGCAACGAUCAGUAGGGGUUCUGAGAGGAAGGUACCCCACAUUGGAACUGAGACACGGUCCAAACUCCUACGGGAGGCAGCAGUGAGGAAUAUUGGUCAAUGGGCGAGAGCCUGAACCAGCCAAGUAGCGUGCAGGAUGACGGCCCUAUGGGUUGUAAACUGCUUUUAUAAGGGAAUAAAGUGGGUCUCGUGAGACUUUUUGCAUGUACCUUAUGAAUAAGGACCGGCUAAUUCCGUG
rnacentral:rRNA from 1 species